rnacentral:rRNA from 1 species
AACGAACGCUGGCGGCAUGCCUAACACAUGCAAGUCGAACGAGACCUUCGGGUCUAGUGGCGCACGGGUGCGUAACGCGUGGGAACCUGCCCUUAGGUUCGGAAUAACUCCCCGAAAGGGGUGCUAAUACCGGAUAAUGCCUUCGGACCAAAGAUUUAUCGCCUUUGGAUGGGCCCGCGUUGGAUUAGCUAGUUGGUAGGGUAAAAGCCUACCAAGGCGACGAACCAUAGCUGGUCUGAGAGGAUGAUCAGCCACACUGGGACUGAGACACGGCCCAGACUCCUCGGGAGGCAGCAGUGGGGAAUAUUGGACAAUGGGCGAAAGGCUGAUCCAGCAAUGACGCGUGAGUGAUGAAGGCCUUAGGGUUGUAAAGCUCUUUUACCCGGGAUGAUAAUGACAGUACCGGGAGAAUAAGCACCGGCUAACUUCGUG